rnacentral:rRNA from 1 species
GAAUCUUCCGCAAUGGACGCAAGUCUGACGGAGCAACGCCGCGUGAGUGACGAAGGUUUUCGGAUCGUAAAGCUCUGUUGCCAGGGAAGAACGCUAAGGAGAGUAACUGCUCUUUAGGUGACGGUACCUGAGAAGAAAGCCCCGGCUAACUACGUGCCAGCAGCCGCGGUAAUACGUAGGGGGCAAGCGUUGUCCGGAAUUAUUGGGCGUAAAGCGCGCGCAGGCGGCGAUGUAAGUCUGGUGUUUAAGCCCAGGGCUCAACCCUGGUUCGCACUAGAAACUGCAUGGCUUGAGUGUAGGAGAGGAAAGUGGAAUUCCACGUGUAGCGGUGAAAUGCGUAGAGAUGUGGAGGAACACCAGUGGCGAAGGCGACUUUCUGGCCUAUAACUGACGCUGAGGCGCGAAAGCGUGGGGAGCAAACAG